rnacentral:rRNA from 1 species
UACGAAGGGGGCUAGCGUUGCUCGGAAUCACUGGGCGUAAAGCGCACGUAGGCGGAUCUUUAAGUCAGGGGUGAAAUCCUGGAGCUCAACUCCAGAACUGCCUUGAUACUGGGAUCUCGAGUCCGGAAGAGGUGAGUGGAACUCCGAGUGUAGAGGUGAAAUUCGUAGAUAUUCGGAAGAACACCAGUGGCGAAGGCGGCUCACUGGUCCGGUACUGACGCUGAGGUGCGAAGGCUAGGGAGCGAACGGG